UAGACAACCUGCCUCGAAGUGGGGGACAACAGCGGGAAACUGCUGCUAAUACCGCAUGUGGCCAUCCAGCGCCUGUUGGAAUGGCUAAAGGCGCAAGUCGCUUCGAGAUGGGUCUGCGGCCUAUCAGUUAGUUGGUGGGGUAACGGCCUACCAAGACGACGACGGGUAGCUGGUCUGAGAGGACGAUCAGCCAGACGGGGACUGAGACACGGCCCCG
rnacentral:rRNA from 1 species